rnacentral:rRNA from 1 species
CUACGGGCUGCUCCAGUGAGGAAUAUUGCACAAUGGGGGGAACCCUGAUGCAGCAACGCCGCGUGGAGGAUGACGCAUUUCGGUGUGUAAACUCCUUUUAUAUGUCAAGAAAAUGACGGUGGCAUAUGAAUAAGCACCGGCUAACUCCGUGCCAGCAGCCGCGGUAAUACGGAGGGUGCAAGCGUUACUCGGAAUCACUGGGCGUAAAGGACGCGUAGGCGGGUUGGAAAGUCAGGUGUGAAAUCCUACAGCUUAACUGUGGAACUGCACUUGAAACUUCUAAUCUAGAGUAUGGGAGGGGGAGAUGGAAUUAGUGGUGUAGGGGUAAAAUCCGUAGAUAUCACUAGGAAUACCUAAAGCGAAGGCGAUCUCCUGGAACAUUACUGACGCUAAGGCGUGAAAGCGUGGGGAGCAAACAGGAUUAGAUACCCCAGUAGUC